rnacentral:rRNA from 1 species
UACGUAGGGUGCAAGCGUUAAUCGGAAUUACUGGGCGUAAAGCGUGCGCAGGCGGUUUUGUAAGUCUGUCGUGAAAUCCCCGGGCUCAACCUGGGAAUUGCGAUGGAGACUGCAAGGCUAGAAUAUGUCAGAGGGGGGGUAGAAUUCCACGUGUAGCAGUGAAAUGCGUAGAGAUGUGGAGGAAUACCGAUGGCGAAGGCAGCCCCCCUGGGAUAACACUGACGCUCAUGCACGAAAAGCGUGGGGGAG